rnacentral:lncRNA from 1 species
UUGCUUUUCAGUCUGCAUUUAAAGUAUUGUGGGGACACAUUCAGUUUGCUUUUAUGGUGUGUGGUCUGUGUCACACAUAGAGCACUAGCUAUGUGUAAACGGGAACUCUUGAAAUACUCCUAUGAAACUGCAGGGUUACAGGUUCAGUGCUUCAGUACAAACAUGUCCGAGGAAAAAGACGUCAGAAUUUCGCUGGAGCAGAGAAGUGAUUCGAAAGAUUACACAGCCGAUUGCUAAGGACAGAAAGUUCUUCUCGUCAUGAGGGACACAAAUAGGCUUGGAUGUCUAUCAGAUGCAACUGGAAACACUCCUCAAAAAGCCAUGCACUCUUAGUAAUGACUGCAAAGGAAGCUUCGUGUCUAGGGACAGUAAUGGAGCAGUAUCAUGAUGCCCACGGUUGUGGAGUCGUAUCUGGACGGACACAGAAGGUAAGCAAAUGUCCAUCCAAAGUCACGGCCUUUCUGUGCUACAGCUACCAAUAA